CCUUCAAUAGCUCAGCUGGUAGAGCGGAGGACUGUAGGCUGUCUAUGCAAAGGAAUCCUUAGGUCGCUGGUUCAAUUCCGGCUCGAAGGA
rnacentral:tRNA from 1 species